CAGUCUGUCACUUAUAAACUUUUUUUUCUGUUUUACCGGUUUUUACAAAAUUUAUUCACUGUGAAAUCAUAAAAGUAACUGAAGUUUUUUUCACAAACGUGACAUUCAUUUGGUUCUAUGUGUAAUUCAAUUGAAAGACUGUUCUAACACGAAUAACGUGUACAGUUUUGCAGUAGGAACGAGUUUUCUUUCUCUCAGUUUGAUGGCCCAGAACGUUUGGUCCAUAUUGGUGUAUUCACCGGCUUAUUUGCCUUUAUCUGUCAAGCUAUCGGAAUUCUGGAUAAUGAUUUAUUAACCCUGAAAGUGAUUUUGCAGAAUUUAAAAAACCAGGUGCACUGUCCACAGACAACGGAUUGAUAUCGGGUACGUGUGCUGCAAAGACCUGUACUUCAAGAAUUAAGAAUAAACGAUUGGACGAUCUUGAAAAGUUGUUCUAAAAAGGCAGUCUUUCAACGCAAGCAUCUGGUUUGUAUGAAGUGAGCGACAGUUUUUCUCAGCGACACAUUUAUCCGACCCCAGCGCACGGGUGCCGUAGCGGCCGGUGUUGGAACUAAUUAAAACUGGAUAUUAUUUUAUAAAUUAAUUAAAUAAAUUAGAUUUUCAAUA